GGUUUGAUUCUGGCUCAGAUUGAACGCUGGCGGGAUGCUUUACACAUGCAAGUCAGACGGCAGCACCGGACUUUCGGUCUGGUGGCGAGUGGCGAACGGGUGAGUAAUGUAUCGGAACGUGCUAGUAGCGGGGGAUAACUACAUAAGCGUAGCUAAUACCACAUACGCCCUUCGGGGGAAAGCGGGGACCUUCGGGCCUCGCACUGUGAAGCAGCCGAUAUCGGAUUAGCUAGUUGGUGGGGUAACGGCUCUGCAAAGGCGACGAUCCGUAGCUGGUUUGAGGAGGACGACCAGAAGCCACACUGCAGGACUGAACGCAACCGCCGAGCUCCUACGGGAGAGCAGCAGUGAAAUUUUGGACAAUGGGGGAAACCUGAUCAGUCAUCGCGUGUGCGAUGAAGGCCUUCCGGGUUGUAAAGCACUUUUGGCAGGAAAAAAACAUGCGGGAUAAUACCCAUUCACAACUGACGGUACCUACAGAAUAAGCACCGGCUAACUACGUGCCAGCAGCCGCGGUAAUACGUAGGUGCAAGCGUUAAUCAGAUUACUGGGCGUAGCUUGGUGCAGGCGGUUCGGAAAGAAAAGAGAUGUGAAAUCUGACUUAACUUUGGAACUGCAUUUUUAACUACUAAAUAGAGUGUGUCAGAGAGUGGAAUUCCGCGUGUAGCAGUGAAAUGCGUAGAUAUGCGGAGGAACACCGAUAGCGAAGGCGGCCUCCUGGGAUAACACUGACGCUCAUGCACAGCAGUAAGGGCAAACAGGAUUAGAUACACUGGUAGUCCGCCUAAACGAUGUCAACUAGCUGUUGGGGCCUUCGGGCCUUGGUGACGCAGCUAACGUGGAAGUUGACCGCCUGGAAUGGUCCGCAAGAUUAAAGCUCAAAGGAAUUGACCGGGGACCCGCACAAGCGGUGGAUGAUGUCGGUUAAUUCGAUGCAACGCGAAAAAGCCUUACCUACCGCCGACAUGUCACCAGGUCCGAAGAAGAGAUUUGGGAGUGCUCGCAAGGCGGAACACAGGUGCUGCAUGGCUGUCGUCAGCUCGUGUCGUGAGAUGUUGGGUUAAGUCCGCAACAGCACCAGCCCUUGUCAUUAGUUGCUACGAAGGGCACUCAAUAGGACUGCCGGUGACAAACCGGAGGAAGGUGGGAUGACGUCAAGUCCUCAUGGCCCUUAUGGUGGGGCUUCACGCGUCAUACAAUGGUCGGGACGAGGGUCGCCAACCCACGCGAGGAGCCAAUCCCAGAAACCCGAUCGUAGUCCGGAUCGCAGUCACAACUCGACCAAAGUGAAGUCGGAAUCGCUAGUAAUCGCGGAUCAGCAUGUCGCGGUGAAUACGUUCCCGGGUCUUGUACACACCGCCCGUCACACCAUGGGAGUGGGUUUUGCAAGAAGUAGUUAGCCUAACCAUCGGGAGGCGUUACCACAGUAGGAUUCAUGACUGGGGGUGAAGUCGUAACCAGGUAG
rnacentral:rRNA from 1 species